rnacentral:rRNA from 1 species
UACGUAGGGUGCUAGCGUUAAUCGGAAUUACUGGGCGUAAAGCGCACGCAGGCGGUUUGUUAAGUCAGAUGUGAAAUCCCCGGGCUCAACCUGGGAACUGCAUUCGAAACUGGCAGGCUGGAGUCUUGUAGAGGGGGGUAGAAUUCCAUGUGUAGCGGUGAAAUACGUAGAGAUCUGGAGGAAUACCGGUGGCGAAGGCGGCCCCCUGGACGAAGACUGACGCUCAGGUGCGAAAGCGUGGGGAGCAAACAGG